rnacentral:misc_RNA from 1 species
GAAAAUCUAGAAAUUGCAGUAUAUGUUGCACCUAGUUACUGGCAAUCCAUAGCCAGUAUGCAGGAAGCCCAACCAUAAAAAGACAAUUGUAUUAAACUUGUAAGAAAUGGAAAGUUAAAACACAAUGCAAUUACAUCUGAACACAGGCUAGUCAAUGAACUUGGAAAUCAACCACAACCAGUGGAAUAACUGAAUAUUUUGCGAUUGUCGGGGUUCCUCCUAUCACAGGUUCUCUGCUAUUUUAGGCUGCUAGCCCAGUGGCUGAUUAUAACUGAACAUGCCAUGAGCGCAAGAAAAGGUAAUAAACACCCAAAAUCAUAAUAUAACAGUAAACAUUUGUAGCUCUCCAAUGUUUAAACAACGAAACAUACACGAACGAAUGGCCAUUAGACAGUGAUUCAAAACUUUUGGUUUGCAAAUUGAUAAAUAUAAAAACAAAACAGACUUGCAUUGCCUUGUUAGGCUUAUGAGGAGGCUGCAGCAGCUCCCUUGUUCCUUGGAGUGGCUUGUGUACCUUCUCUAAAGUUAGACUUGAACCUGCGCGGGACAUGACGAAGGUACCUCAUUCGGCCAGUGCCAGUUGUCUUUCUGCGAAUUGCCUUCACACUCCAGUUAUAUUUUCUGACGCGACUGGCAGGAUAACCACAAGCGCCGCAACGACUCUUCUGCAAAUGGAAGCUCCGACGACCGCAUCGCACACAGAGGGUGUGUGUCUUAUUCCUUCUCUUACCAAAGCUUCCAGUCCCUUUACCCUAAUAAACCAUAUUUACAAGCAAUCACCGAUCACCAAACCAUUCUGCAUCAAAAGACAUAUAAAUAAGAUUAGAAAGACGAGAAAAGAGCACCAUAUCUUUAACGGCUACGGCGACCUGAGUGGAGAAAAUUUGCUGCAAGUGGAGGUUGAAGUAUUUAUAUACAGUGUGGAUGUAGGGUUUUCAAAAAUGGAGGGGGUUGAGUGAGGGUUUGGAGUGGCCGUGAUGUUUGAA